CAGCCGCCGCGGGAAUACAGAGGGUGCGAGCGUUAAUCGGAUUUACUGGGCGUAAAGCGUGCGUAGGCGGCUUCUUAAGUCGGAUGUGAAAUCCCUGAGCUUAACUUAGGAAUUGCAUUCGAUACUGGGAAGCUAGAGUAUGGGAGAGGAUGGUAGAAUUCAAGGUGUAGCGGUGAAAUGCGUAGAGAUCUGGAGGAAUACCGAUGGCGAAGGCAGCCAUCUGGCCUAAUACUGACGCUGAGGUACGAAAGCAUGGGGAGCAAACAGGAUUAGAUACCCCUGUAGUCCCUGUCUCUUAUAC
rnacentral:rRNA from 1 species